UCUAUGGCCAUGUCUGAAAUGGGUGUGAAGGAGCUUGCUCUCCUUGGGGAUUGUACAUCUUUCAUAUCCUGCUUCCUACUAGGUUUGUUAGAGAAAAUACAGUUGUGCUACAUGGCCAGGAAGAAGAGGAAACACACAUCAGUGAGGGGGACGAGUGAUCCAUAUGUGAAGUUUAAAAUCGGAGGAAAAGAAGUUUUUAGAAGUAAGAUAAUACACAAGAACCUCAACCCUGUGUGGGAAGAAAAAGCUUGUAUUCUGGUUGAUCAUCUUAGGGAGCCAUUGUAUAUAAAGGUAUUUGACUAUGAUUUUGGACUACAGGAUGACUUUAUGGGCUCAGCCUUUCUGGAUCUGACACAAUUGGAGUUAAAC
rnacentral:lncRNA from 10 species